UACAGAGGUCUCAAGCGUUUGUUCGGAUUCAUUGGGCGUAAAGGGUGCGUAGGCGGCGCGGUAAGUCGGGUGUGAAAUCUCGGGGCUUAACUCCGAAACUGCAUUCGAUACUGCCGUGCUUGAGGACUGGAGAGGAGACUGGAAUUUACGGUGUAGCGGUGAAAUGCGUAGAUAUCGUAAGGAAGACCAGUGGCGAAGGCGGGUCUCUGGACAGUUCCUGACGCUGAGGCACGAAGGCCCAGGGGGAGCAAACGGG
rnacentral:rRNA from 1 species